GUCAGCCACAUGUUGACAAGUAUCUGGCUAGCAACCUUCAUCUGUCAGCUGCAACAGCUUUUACAGGCUCAUCUUUUGUACAAAUAAGGAAGAUUCAUCUAUGGAGCCAGCACUUGGAGACUUACAAGAUGGAAAGGACUGUAGAUGCUUUUUCCAAGACUCCUUCCUCUGUUGUUUGAUGGGGAGACCAUUGGAAACAUGUAUGGCGCCAGCACGUGCAGACUUGCAAGAUAAUGUGAUGAAGUCCAGACUGACACACGGGCUUGAUGGUGAUGUCUCUGAAUGGAGAGAGACCUGGCACUCAGCAUUCAAAUUUAAGUAGACAACUUUUACUUGUAUUGUGUUUUUUAUUAUUGAAUUGAAUGAUAUCAGUCAAUAUGGGGUGGGAAAAUCCCUGUGUAUUCUGCACCAGCAUCAGGGAACUCCUGUUGUAUAAGGGACACCACACAGGAAGGUAUGACCACUCUGUUCGCCAAGGCCCUUUACCACCAGGCAAAAUGUUGAUAGGCACAGUAUCUGUAUCAGCUGGGAAUGACUACGG
rnacentral:lncRNA from 1 species